rnacentral:misc_RNA from 1 species
GAUGAAGAACGUAGCGAAAUGCGAUACGUAAUGUGAAUUGCAAAUUCAGUGAAUCAUCUAGUCUUUGAACGCACAUUGCGCCCCCUGGUAUUCCGGGGGGCAUGCCUGUCCGAGCGUCAUUGCUGCCCUCAAGCACGGCUUGUGUGUUGGGCCCCGUCCUCCGAUCCCGGGGGACGGGCCCGAAAGGCAGCGGCGGCACCGCGUCCGGUCCUCGAGCGUAUGGGGCUUUGUCACCCGCUCUGUAGGCCCGGCCGGCGCUUGCCGAUCAACCCAAAUUUUUAUCCAGGUUGACCUCGGAUCAGGUAGGGAUACCCGCUGAACUUAAGCAUAUCAAUAAGCGGAGGA